rnacentral:lncRNA from 1 species
CUCCUUGUAUCCUCUCAGCCAACUCUGCCGGAUUAACCUCUAGCUCUGUUCUGGUCUCCACUAAGUGUUGCUCGGCGGUCUACUCCUUGUAUCCUCUCAGCCAACUCUGCCGGAUUUGCCUUUCUAGCUAACCACUGAGCUUUUUUUUCCUCCUCUUGUUAUUAUCUUAAGCUACCAUCUCACCAGUAUAACAAUUAACAAUAUCUUGUACUCCUUCAAGAAAAUGGGGAGGUAU